GAUGAACGCUGGCGGCGUGCCUAACACAUGCAAGUCGAACGGAAACACAGUGAGAUUGUGCUCUUACCGGUGGCGGGUGGCGGACGGGUGACGAGUGCAUCGGAUUCUUCUUUUUCGUGGAUGAUAACGGAAGGAAGGAUACGCUAAUACCGCAUAUGACCUACCGGUGGAAGCAGUGGAUCUUCGCGGCUUUCGCGACUGUACUAGCCGCUGCCGGACUUGAUAGUUGGGUGGGUAACGGCCCAGCAAGGCAACGAUACGUAGCUGGACUGAGAGGAUGGUCGGCCACACUGGAACUGAGACACGGUCCAGACUCCUACGGGAGGCAGCAGUAGGGAAUCUUGGGCAAUGGGCGCAAGCCUGACGCAGCCAUACCGCGUGGGUGACGAAGGCCUUCGGAUCGUAAAGCCCUUUUAUUGGGGAAGAACAGCUGUAGGUUAAGACCCCGCCGUUUUGACGGUACCGAAUCAAUAAGCACCGGCUAACUACGUG
rnacentral:rRNA from 1 species